rnacentral:rRNA from 1 species
UACGAAGGGGGCUAGCGUUGCUCGGAAUCACUGGGCGUAAAGCGCACGUAGGCGGAUUGUUAAGUCGGGUGUGAAAUCCCUGGGCUCAACCGAGGAAGUGCAUCCGAAACUAAUUAGCUAGAGAAUGGUAGAGGAAGGUGGAAUUCCGUGUGUAGAGGUGAAAUUCGUAGAUAUACGGAGGAAUACCGGUGGCGAAGGCGGCCUUCUGGACCAUUUCUGACGCUGAGACGCGAAAGCGUGGGGAGCAAACAGG